UUGAAUGUAUUUCUCUCUUUCUCCCUUUUCAACUCCAGUCACCUCUACACGACCUCGCAAACGACAAUACUGCUAACGAUCGUUACAGAGACACAGAUAGACACACUAUUAAGCAGUCGUAUCCCGUCAUCGAUAGUAUCAAUUGUUCCUAAUCAUUGCAACAGAAGUGCUAUUGAAGAUCUUAUACGAAAUUUUUUUCUAAAGUUGGAAGUUGACGUUGUUGAAGUGAAACCGUCUAUACAAUCACUUGGCGCAAAUACAACGCAGCUAGUAUCUAAUCGAUAUUAAAAGAAGAGAAUUUUCGAUUAAAAUUGAAACAAAUAA